UUAUGGCCCAUUUGAAUAUCCUGUGACCGGGCAAUAAAAACGUCACCGACAACUGUCACACACACACCCAGUUUCGUUAAGAGUCUUACUUAUCAGAAAGCUGGGCGGGAUCGGGGCGUACAGGCAUUGUCGAGAUGCUUCAGUGUCAAUUCAAUUUUAUUUUCAUUGUGUCAUAACAAUAACAUAAAAUUAAAAUAACAUAAAAAGGAAGUUGAGGAUGCACAGAAAACAGUUCGCUCCGUGGAAGAGCAACCGAGUUGUCGGCUGCAAAUCAACUUGGCGUAAAAUUGUCAGGCCGUGUUCUUCUUCCUGCUGUCGUUGCAACAGCUGCUGCUGCUGCUGCUGUUGAUAUUAUCCUUGUUAUGUGUAUUUCGUUAGUGACAUAUAAAAAAGGCAACAAAGCACAUGAGCUCUGCAUAAAACAGGAAACGGAAACACAUCAGCGGAACGGAAGUCAAAAAGUCGUCACAUUCACAUAACAAUGAUGGCAGCCAUAUACCCAGCAUGCAAGGCAUUCCGCUUUGUUUUGCCCGACUUUGAAAAGCAGGAGUUUGAGUGGGAGAAGAAGCGGUUCGCAAGAAGGGGCCACCAUGACUUACCAAAAAGCCGGCAUCUCCAGCUUUUGGCCGAUUUCAGCCAUGAGAUUCCACCAAAUGGCCCCCAUUUUCCCCAAUUUUGUUGUAUCCUUUUUUGUUAUUUUCUGACAGCGUUGUUUGGUGUCUGGCAUUGUGUCUGUCCUUUCGCCGUUGCAGGAAUUCAUUUGGAAAAUUAAUAAAAAUAUAUGUGUACUCUCAUACACAUACAUAUACAAAA